UACGUAGGGUGCAAGCGUUGUCCGGAAUUAUUGGGCGUAAAGAGCUCGUAGGCGGUUUGUCGCGUCUGCUGUGAAAACGCGAGGCUCAACCUCGCGCCUGCAGUGGGUACGGGCAGACUAGAGUGCGGUAGGGGAGAUUGGAAUUCCUGGUGUAGCGGUGGAAUGCGCAGAUAUCAGGAGGAACACCGAUGGCGAAGGCAGAUCUCUGGGCCGCAACUGACGCUGAGGAGCGAAAGCGUGGGGAGCGAACAGG
rnacentral:rRNA from 1 species